UCAUCUUACUGGUAUAAGGAAACUUAGAGAGAGAAACCGAAUCCUCAUGGGUGUUGAUUCACCGAGUACCAUCGACCAUAUUCAUAGAUAUUGAAUCAGUGUGGUGUAGAGCUCGGAGAUAAUCAUAGAGAGCAGAAGCUAGUUGAUGGCAAUAAUGAACUGCUUGCUUCAUCCAGCAUCUUCCCUCUCUUCAGCAACCUACUUUUUCUUCAUUUGUACACCUUCAAAGAUCCACGCUCCAUUUCUCGUUAGGCUACAUUUAGGGAGAGAAACACCAGUUUUGGAGGUUGAAAGAGGAUGAAUAGUGGGUGUUUGGGGUGGAUUUCCAGUUUUGUGGUGACAUGAUGUAGAAAUGGCAGUUUUUGGAGAGGCAAUUCUGGUUUGUGGUUUGUGGAUUGGAUGGUGCUGAGGGAGGGAGGGAGGCAGAGAGCGAGCAUCUGAGAGUGAAUACAUCUGAGAGGGAGGCCGGGAGGUUGCAUCUGAGAGUGAAUACAAUCUGAUCCAAAGGGAGAGAGCAUCUGAGGCAAUGUCUCUAUUGUCUUCACUCGGGUCAGAUUGUUUGUCCUACAACCCUGGAAGAUCCUUUGAUUCCGCUCUUUCAACUUGUGUCAUGGAAUCGUUGGAGGCAAGGCUGCCAUGAUAGACACUGUUUCCAACAAGUAGGAGAGAUACCACUGAAGAAAAAAGUUCAGAGGAAGUCCUUUUUAGGAUUUAAGUCAGUUGGAAUCCAAAAACGUCAUCCUUGGAUAAAAAAUGAUUUCCACAAGUACCUCCAUAGAAGAAUGCAUUAUGUAUUUUUCUUAAGUAGUUUCACUCCUACAAAUGAUCAAUAGAAGUCUCUCAACCCGUGCUCCAAAUCAUGAAGCAUGAUCCUAAAUUCCUAAUUGUUUAUUUUCUUAUUUUUCCCAUAGUCCCUUGUCUGUCAAAUGCUUUUGUGACGUAACAAAGUUCCUACACCCAUUUUUAUGCACCAAGAGAUGCAAAAUAAUUAAACUAUACAGGGCUAUGGGGGGCAAAGCUCAAAAAGGUUACAAAAAGGUCUCCGGUGUGUUUCCUGAGAGUGCUUCGUCAUUAGUGAGGCUAUCAGCUUCUGAAUUUUCUUUUUGCCAUGUAUGUUGCCAAAAGGUUUAAGAUUUCAUAUAUCGAUAAUACCGAUUGCAUAUGAGGUAGGAACUGUUAGAACUUAGAAAUUAUUGAUUAUUUUUGUAUUGCUAUUAAUAUUUAUGGAUUUUAAGUUCAAACUCUGUUUUUCUUAAAUGAUCCAUCUCCAUUUGUUUUCGACCAAUUUGGUUCUUUUUCCUUUGCUGCAUUUAUAUUUUGUGGGUAAUGCAGCUUUCUAGUCUUCAGUUGGUAAACUGCAUUCUAUCAAAGCUUAUUUUACCUUAGGUUCAACAAGUCUAAAUGACAACAUUACAAGGUGUUAUUUCUGAAUUUUUCUUUGGACAGGACCUUUACAUUCAUGUUGGUUGGCCUUUGUACCGAAAAUAUGGACAUGCUUUUGAGGCAUUCAAGGUGAUUGUAACUGACCCUGAUUCAGUUCUAAAUUCCCUCAGCCUGGAAGUCAGAGGAAUUGGACCUGAUGGACAGGAGGUUACAAGGGUGGUGCCAGCAAUGACAGAAGAGGUCAAAGAUGCUUUAGUAAGAAAUAUUCGAAAGGCGUAUGACCCCACAACCAUUGAAGAUACGGGCGGAUAUCGAGAUGAAAUGUUUCCAAUAUGAUGGGGUUCUUCAUAUUAAGGAGCAAGGCAUACAUGUUCUAAAUGCUGCCAUCAAAGCUUCCACUGAAGCAAUAGACCUACACAAGGGGAAACUUACUGUCAAGGAGGCUCCUAGAGCUGAGAGCGAGCAUGAUGACAAGCUUCUUGCCGAGCACAUGGCGAAGCUGAGGGCUGAUAAUGAAGAGGUCAGCGGUGAUGAGGAAACUGAAGAAGAGGAAGAUAUAGGGAUGGGCGAGAUUGAUCUUGAUAAUGCUGGUGUGACUGAGUAGAUUAUAAGACACAAAUCGAAAAGGAAAAAUUAGCUGAUUUUAUUGAAUUUACGUGUAUAGAACAGCCCCAAUUUGUGCUGCUCGUGAUUAAGGUUACAUUUGUUAUUUUCAUUGAAGUUUGCGGUGGCAGAUUUAUCUGCCUUGUAUGGAAUUUGUGAUCCUGAGAUUUUGUUAAGAGCUCUUCAGUUUUCGUGUCAUUUGGAUAUUCUACAUGAAUUACCUAUUAAUUUAA